CCUACGGGAGGCAGCAGUGAGGAAUAUUGGUCAAUGGGCGCGAGCCUGAACCAGCCAAGUAGCGUGAAGGAUGACUGCCCUACGGGUGGUAAACUUCUUCUAUGAAGGAAUAAAGUGUGACACGUGUCCCUUUUUGUAUGUACUUUAUGAAUAAGGAUCGGCUAACUCCGUCCCAGCAGCCGCGGUAAUACGGAGGAUCCGAGCGUUAUCCGUAUUUAUUGGGGUUAAAGGGAGCGUAGAUGGGUUGUUAAGUCAGUUGUGAAAGUUUGCGGCUCAACCGUAAAAUUGCAAUUGAUACUGGCAGGCUUGAGUACAGUUGAGGUAGGUGGAAUUCGUGGUGUAGCGGUGAAAUGCGUAGAUAUCACGAAGAACUCCGAUUGCGAAGGCAGCUUACUAAACUGCGACUGACAUUGAUGUUCGAAAGUGUGGGUAUCAAACAGGAUUAGAUACCCUGGUAGUC
rnacentral:rRNA from 1 species